rnacentral:rRNA from 1 species
GAUGAACGCUGGCGGCGUGCCUAAUACAUGCAAGUCGAGCGAACAGAUAAGGAGCUUGCUCCUUUGACGUUAGCGGCGGACGGGUGAGUAACACGUGGGUAACCUACCUAUAAGACUGGGAUAACUUCGGGAAACCGGAGCUAAUACCGGAUAACAUUUGGAACCGCAUGGUUCUAAAGUGAAAGAUGGUUUUGCUAUCACUUAUAGAUGGACCCGCGCCGUAUUAGCUAGUUGGUAAGGUAACGGCUUACCAAGGCGACGAUACGUAGCCGACCUGAGAGGGUGAUCGGCAACACUGGAACUGAGACACGGUCCAGACUCCUACGGGAGGCAGCAGUAGGGAAUCUUCCGCAAUGGGCGAAAGCCUGACGGAGCAACGCCGCGUGAGUGAUGAAGGGUUUCGGCUCGUAAAACUCUGUUAUUAGGGAAGAACAAAUGUGUAAGUAACUGUGCGCAUCUUGACGGUACCUAAUCAGAAAGCCACGGCUAACUACGUGCCAGCCGCCGCAGUAA